GGCAGUAUGGCCGAGUGGUUAAGGCGAUAGACUUGAAUUAAUAUUGAAAUCUAUUCUCUUCGGAGGCGUCGGUUCAAAUCCGGCUGCUGUCG
rnacentral:tRNA from 1 species